rnacentral:lncRNA from 1 species
CCUCCCUCUUGUACCCACUGUUCCCAUCUAUACUAAUCUAUUCUAAUAUUGGGCCGGUUUCUCUGUUGGAUAUUCUCUUUCCCAAAGUCUACUUGCCUUAAUAAUUGUUCUAAAGCAUAGUCUAUAAUAACAUAAGAGUUGUAUGCAUUUUAACCCUAGGAUAUUUGAAAAUACUUCUACUCUCUCAUUACACUUAAAUGAUGGUAUGGAUGCAUGUGGAAUUCUGGAUUAAAAGUACUUUUCCUUAGGGAUUGAAGGCUUGGCUCCACCAUUUUGGAAUCCAGUUAUGGUGGCGCAGAUUCUGACGUCAUUCUGCACGCCAUUGUUCUGCAAUGCGCCCUGCCCCCAACACUGCCAGUGCUUGCAAACUUAGAGGAUUUAAAUUCAUCACUAGUGUUUUGAAAUCCCAGGAUGUGUUCCUGAGACAGUCUUCGUUGUUUUAUUGUCCUGGGCAUUCUGCGUCCUUUCAGUCUGGAGAUUUUUAGCUUCCUUUGCUUCUGAGUCUCUAUUUGCAGUGCCCCGAUGCUAGAAACCUGAGAUCCCAUGGCUUCUCCAGAAUGGAGGCUUGGGCAUUGUCAGCACCCUCCUUCCAAGAGUUGAAAGUUCCUCUCUUCUGGAAGACAAACUGAUGUGAGGAUGAGGAGGAGUCAGAAAUAAACUCAUUCAACUAAUACUUGAGUAGCUACUGUUGCCUACAGUAUGUUCAAGGUUUUGCUAGUCAUCCAUAUGAUCACUAUUGACAGCUUGGGAGACUCACACAGGCUAGUGAAUUUCAGGAAUUAACAGAAACUGAACAGCUUCUAUAAUCCUGCAGGAAGUAACCUCUGGAUGGCACAAUGGAUAAAUCCAGCCUUAUUUUGCUACUCCAAAGUCAUCUGCACCUAUCACCUCAGAAUUCAUUCUUUUUUU